rnacentral:lncRNA from 1 species
GACAACUUCACUGCAUCUCACAGAGAACUCUAGCUGGCGUUUAUCAAAAGCAUUUGAGGAAGAUCCCCAGCAAUAGCUGACCAUACUGAAUUCCUGUCCCUCUCUAUGGACACAGCUAACACUCCUCCAGCUGGAGAUUCCACCUGAGUACUGCGUCAGAUUUUGGGCCCCCAGCACAGGUAGGACAUCGAGCUGUUGGAGCAGGUCCAGAGGAGAGCCACAAAGAUGAUCAGAGGGCUGAAGCACCUCCCCUGUGGGUACAGGCUGAGAGAGUUGGGGCUCUUCAGCCUGGAGAAGAGAAGGCUCUCAGGAGACCUUAUAGCGGCCUUACAGUACCUGAAGGCAGCCAACAGGAAAGCUGGGGAGGGACUUUUUAUAAGGGCAGGUAGUGACAGAAUGAGGUGAAAUGACUUUAAAAAGGAAGAUGGUAGAUUUAGACUAGAUAUUAGGAAGAAAUUCUUUACCGUGAGGGUAAUGAAACACUGGGACAGGUUGCUCAAAGGGGUUGUGGAUACCCUGUCCCUGGAGGUGUGCAAGGCCAGGCUGGAUAGGGCUUUGAGCAACCUGGUCUAGAGGUAGGUGUCCUUGCGUAUAGCAGGGGGUUGGAACUAGGUGAUCUUAAAGGUCCCUUCCAACCCAAACCAUUCUAUGAUUCUAUGAUUCCAUGAUUCUAUAAUUCUGGUGUGUGCUAGGAAUGCCUUGUGCAGCUGUACAACCCAAGACUUCACCAGAGGCCUCUGCACUUUCAGAGCCGUGAUGGAACACCUGUGUGACAUCUUGUCCCCACUCAGUCUGGACUCUUACAUCUCCAUCAGCUGACUGCUGCAUGGGCACCACUGCAUAUGGUGUUCCUGCACAUCAGAGAUCUCCCUUGCUGUGGAAUCCAGUGUUUCAACAGUCAGAAGACAUUUGAAGCAGGAGGAGGUAUGGUCACAUAUCUGCGCUGUGGGAGCUGUGCCCUCUGCUGCCUGCUUGGGCACAGUGAAGAAACAGGAGUCAGAAAUGUGUGUACCUGUAUACCUUUGACUUGAAACAUGGGACAAUUCACUGACAUCUUUUAAAAUAGUUGUUUUCAGAGGCUGAGGUUUUUGUCUGAAAACAACUUCUGACAUGAGAAUGUUUGGAAAAGUGCUACUGAAAGUGUUCAUUUAUAUUUUACUGCAAGCUGUACUGGCAAAUUGAGAAUGUUUUUUUUGUUUGUUUGUUUGUUUCUGGUCUCUUAAGAGACUAAGCUAUAUUCCAUGCAAUGAAAAAUCAGAAAAUUUGAGAAGUAUUUUUUCUUCUGUCAGUGACAAAGCAUACGAUUCAUGCUUUCUUCAGAAAGAAGGAGUAGAGAAGAGCUGACCCUUCUACCAAAACAGCAGUGGGAAAACAAAUGACUUAUACUUCCUGAAAGCUGCUUCUUUUUAUUAUUAUUAAACAUUUUUCAUUAAAUACUGC